rnacentral:lncRNA from 1 species
CCCAAAGGGCUAUAGAAAGAAAAAGGAUGUCUUUUUCAGCUAUAGAUCUUCUCCAUUUCUAGGUUUCUAGAAAUGUUGUAAAGUGGUACUCGAAAUCACUGUUAGUGUGAUCUCAGAGCGGAGUAUCAAGAGUUAAGUCUGAAACCUCUGGCAUUCUUACUUGUAGUUCAGAGCUUAAGAGAACGCUCACGGGGUUAACCGUCCGUGGCGGAUCAGUCUACUUAUGUGAAUCAAAGGCUACAUGAGAACCACUUAAACACCUUACGGAAGUUGGCCUUAUAAGUUGUUUAACGAGAUCUUCUUGUGACAACUAUUAUAGGAG